rnacentral:rRNA from 1 species
UUAACACAUGCAAGUCGAGGGGCAGCAUGGUCUUAGCUUGCUAAGGCCGAUGGCGACCGGCGCACGGGUGAGUAACACGUAUCCAACCUGCCGUCUACUCUUGGACAGCCUUCUGAAAGGAAGAUUAAUACAAGAUGGCAUCAUGAGUCCGCAUGUUCACAUGAUUAAAGGUAUUCCGGUAGACGAUGGGGAUGCGUUCCAUUAGAUAGUAGGCGGGGUAACGGCCCACCUAGUCUUCGAUGGAUAGGGGUUCUGAGAGGAAGGUCCCCCACAUUGGAACUGAGACACGGUCCAAACUCCUACGGGAGGCAGCAGUGAGGAAUAUUGGUCAAUGGGCGAGAGCCUGAACCAGCCAAGUAGCGUGAAGGAUGACUGCCCUAUGGGUUGUAAACUUCUUUUAUAAAGGAAUAAAGUCGGGUAUGGAUACCCGUUUGCAUAUACUUUAUGAAUAAGGAUCGGCUAACUCCGUGCCAGCAGCCGCGGUAAUACGGAGGAUCCGAGCGUUAUCCGGAUUUAUUGGGUUUAAAGGGAGCGUAGAUGGAUGUUUAAGUCAGUUGUGAAAGUUUGCGGCUCAACCGUAAAAUUGCAGUUGAUACUGGAUAUCUUGAGUGCAGUUGAGGCAGGCGGAAUUCGUGGUGUAGCGGUGAAAUGCUUAGAUAUCACGAAGAACUCCGAUUGCGAAGGCAGCCUGCUAAGCUGCAACUGACAUUGAGGCUCGAAAGUGUGGGUAUCAAACAGGAUUAGAUACCCUGGUAGUCCACACGGUAAACGAUGAAUACUCGCUGUUUGCGAUAUACAGCAAGCGGCCAAGCGAAAGCGUUAAGUAUUCCACCUGGGGAGUACGCCGGCAACGGUGAAACUCAAAGGAAUUGACGGGGACCCGCACAAGCGGAGGAACAUGUGGUUUAAUUCGAUGAUACGCGAGGAACCUUACCCGGGCUUAAAUUGCAGAUGAAUUACGGUGAAAGCCGUAAGCCGCAAGGCAUCUGUGAAGGUGCUGCAUGGUUGUCGUCAGCUCGUGCCGUGAGGUGUCGGCUUAAGUGCCAUAACGAGCGCAACCCUUGUUGUCAGUUACUAACAGGUUCCGCUGAGGACUCUGACAAGACUGCCAUCGUAAGAUGUGAGGAAGGUGGGGAUGACGUCAAAUCAGCACGGCCCUUACGUCCGGGGCUACACACGUGUUACAAUGGGGGGUACAGAGGGCCGCUACCACGCGAGUGGAUGCCAAUCCCCAAAACCUCUCUCAGUUCGGACUGGAGUCUGCAACCCGACUCCACGAAGCUGGAUUCGCUAGUAAUCGCGCAUCAGCCACGGCGCGGUGAAUACGUUCCCGGGCCUUGUACACACCGCCCGUCAAGCCAUGGGAGCCGGGGGUACCUGAAGUGCGUAACCGCGAGGAGCGCCCUAGGGUAAAACCGGUGACUGGGGCUAAG